CAUAUUGAUCUAUUAUAGAAUAAAGACGUAUACAUCAAAAUAUAGUUACAAUAUAAAGAUAUUAAAAUUUACUUCAACUAAAUAUAUCUUACCAUGAGAAUGUGUAUGGCCAUGAUGUUUAGUUUCAUGCUCGCGUAUGAUAACAGUAUAACUUUCAGAUUCAUUUAAAGGUAUAUCAGCACCAUCUGUAGUUUUUUUUGCAUUAUUUACAAUGGAAUCAUCCAACCUCCAAUCAUCAGUUGUUUUUUUCUCAAUAUCACUUGUCAUCAUUUUUGAUACAGAAUUACAGUUUGCUGUUAAUGGUUUUUCUUCAUCGAUAACAGGUGGUUUAUCUUGCUUAUGUUGUCGAUUAUGAUGAUUAUCUAUAACAGAAUUUCUUAUAAAAUAUUGUUUGAAAUAUUUGAACUAUGAUAUAAUGUUUUAUUCAAAUUAUCAGACAACAUGCCUUGCGUCUCUGUAGUAAUUUCACCAUAACAAUAUGGAUAUGAAGAAUAUUUAUGUUUACAGAGUUUUUCGCCAACAACAUUACUGUUAGGACCAUCAGAUUCCCUCAUAACUCUCACACGUGAUGGUAUUACUGCUACACCAAGCAAUCCACACAGACUAAUAAUUAAAAUGCUAAUCGUUGAGUACAACCACACUAAAAAAUAAAACAACAUAUUCUUUGUAAUUUGUUAUUAAAAAAUUAUUUUCUCUAUCACAUUAAAAUCACAAAAUAUAAAAUUAAAAGAAACUUUCUUAUAGCAAUAAGAUAGUGUAAUAUGAAAAUAUUGUUAUAUACCUUGAAACAUGUUACGAGUUAUUUCUUCUGAACGAUAAUCAAUAUCAUCUGUAACAGCUUUGUAACUUUCUGGCACUAGAAUACAUCCAGUUCUUUCUAAACUUGAUUCUCCUGCUAAUUGAUAAAUAAGAACUGGACAAACACGUUCAAAAAGCCAGCUUGGUAGUGUUGUGUCAUUAUUUUUUGUAUUAUAUGGGCUACCUUGUGCAACCGUAUUUAGCAACUCUUUACCACUUAAGCACUGAAAUAAUGUAAUCUUAUAUUGUUUUUAUACAGUAUAAUAUCUCCAGAGGUGUCAAGUACAUACACUAUAAUUAUAUUUUAUGAAAAAUC